GACCUCAAAUCAGGUAGGGCUACCCGCUGAACUUAAGCAUAUCAAUAAGCGGAGGAAAAGAAACUAACAAGGAUUCCCCUAGUAACGGCGAGCGAACCGGGAAGAGCUCAAAUUUGAAAUCUGGCGUCCUCUGGGCGUCCGAGUUGUAAUCUAUAGAAGCGUUUUCCGCGCCGGACCGUGUCCAAGUCCCUUGGAACAGGGUAUCAAAGAGGGUGACAAUCCCGUACUUGACACGCCAACCGGUGCUAUGUGAUACGCUCUCUACGAGUCGAGUUGUUUGGGAAUGCAGCUCAAAAUGGGUGGUAAAGUGAGGAUUCAGCCGGCCAUGCCGGUGCACUUCCCCUCGAUGGGUCAACAUCAGUUUUGUCCGGCGGAUAAGGGAGAUGGGAAAGUAGCACCCCCGGGUGUGUUACAGCCCUUCGUCGCAUACGCCGGACGGAGACUGAGGCAUGCAGCUCGCCCUCUUUUUGGGCCGGGGUUCGCCCACGACCGAGCUUAGGAUGUUGACAGAAUGGCUUUAAACGACCCGUCUUGAAACACGGACCAAGGAGUCUAACAUACCUGCGAGUGUUUGGGUGUCAAACUCGGACGCGGAAUGAAAGUAAACGAAGGAGGGAUCCGCAAGGAGCACCUUUGACCGAUCUGGAUCUUCUGUGAUGGAUUUGAGUAAGAGCAUGUAUGCUGGGACCCGAAAGAUGGUGAACUAUGCCUGAAUAGGGCGAAGCCAGGGGAAACUCUGGUGGAGGCUCGUAGCGAUUCUGACGUGCAAAUCGAUCGUCAAAUUUGGGUAUAGGGGCGAAAGACUAAUCGAACCAUCUAGUAGCUGGUUCUUGCC
rnacentral:rRNA from 1 species